rnacentral:ncRNA from 1 species
AUAAAUGCGUUUUAUUGUGCGCGAAUUGUCACAGAGAAGUACAUGCUGGUGUAAUCGCAGCCCCGCGUAGGAAUGCGCGGAGAAAAACUGGGUGAAUUCGGGGAAGCCCAGCCCCACUUUUUGAUAAGAUGCCACCAGUAGAUAAAUAAUUGUGUAUUUAUUUGCUGACGUUAGUACUAGUCAUUAUCGGUUUUGUCAGAAAGUGGGGCUGGGUAAUCCCGAGCCAAUACCUGACGGGUAAAAGUGUCAGGAAAGGUGUAGAGACUAGCGGGUGAGUCCCAACGAUAAUCCCGCCACGAGCGCCCAGCGCCUAGAACAGGCGAUGAGAUAGUCCGUCCCUAUUGGUAACAGUAGG